rnacentral:rRNA from 1 species
AUACGGAGGGUGCAAGCGUUAAUCGGAAUUACUGGGCGUAAAGCGUACGUAGGCGGUCCGUUAAGUUAGAUGUGAAAGCCCCGGGCUUAACCCGGGAACUGCAUUUAAAACUGGCGGACUAGAGUUGAGUAGAGGGGAGUGGAAUUUCAGGUGUAGCGGUGAAAUGCGUAGAGAUCUGAAGGAACACCAGUGGCGAAGGCGACUCCCUGGACUCGAACUGACGCUGAGGUACGAAAGCGUGGGUAGCAAACGGGAUUAGAAACCCCAGUAGUCC